GGAGUUAGCCGGUGCUUCUUCUGUGAGUGAUGUCCUUCCUGCCGGCUAUUAACCCGCAGGCCUUCUUCCUCACUGAAAGUGCUUUACAACCCGAAGGCCUUCUUCACACACGCGGCAUGGCUGGAUCAGGGUUGCCCCCAUUGUCCAAUAUUCCCCACUGCUGCCUCCCGUAGGAGUCUGGGCCGUGUCUCAGUCCCAGUGUGGCUGAUCAUCCUCUCAGACCAGCUACGGAUCGUCGCCUUGGUGAGCCGUUACCUCACCAACCAGCUAAUCCGACAUAGGCUCAUCCGAUAGCGCGAGGCCCGAAGGUCCCCCGCUUUCCCCCGUAGGGCGUAUGCGGUAUUAGCCUGGGUUUCCCCAGGUUAUCCCCCACUACCGGGCAGAUUCCUAUGCAUUACUCACCCGUCCGCCGCUCGCCACCAGGGAGCAAGCUCCCCGUGCUGCCGCUCGACUUGCAUGUGUUAGGCCUGCCGCCACGCGUCAUCUGAGCCAGAAUACAACUACUGA
rnacentral:rRNA from 1 species